rnacentral:rRNA from 1 species
CCAGACUCCUACGGGAGGCAGCAGUGGGGAAUAUUGGACAAUGGGGGGAACCCUGAUCCAGCGACGCCGCGUGAGUGAAGAAGUAUUUCGGUAUGUAAAGCUCUAUCAGCAGGGAAGAAAGGAAUGACGGUACCUGACUAAGAAGCCCCGGCUAACUACGUGCCAGCAGCCGCGGUAAUACGUAGGGGGCAAGCGUUAUCCGGAUUUACUGGGUGUAAAGGGAGCGUAGACGGUUACGCAAGUCUGGAGUGAAGGGCGGGGGCCCAACCCCCGGACUGCUUUGGAAACUGUAUAACUGGAGUGCAGGAGAGGUAAGUGGAAUUCCUAGUGUAGCGGUGAAAUGCGUAGAUAUUAGGAGGAACACCAGUGGCGAAGGCGGCUUACUGGACGGUAACUGACGUUGAGGCUCGAAAGCGUGGGGAGCAAACAGGAUUAGAUACCCCAGUACGU